CAAAACAAAAAAGCAACCAGCAAACCUUCCUCUGAAGUUCUUAAAUCUCAGUGACAAAAGGACCUGCGUGACCCAACAGACCAGUGUUGCAGCAUAUUCUGCAUGUAUACUUUUCAGAAUUCUAGAAAAACUGAAAGACCCUAAUGUACCUGACCCUCAGCUGUCUUGAAGAAGUUUCUUCAUGGAAGUUUUUUACUCUUUUUACCCCCUCCAAUUAAAAAAAGUAAAAAAAAAAAAAUCAAUAUAGCUCCAAAAAUGGUUUUA